UACGUAGGUGGCAAGCGUUGUUCGGAAUUAUUGGGCGUAAAGGGCGCGUAGGCGGUUUGUUAAGUCAGUUGUGAAAGCCCGGGGCUCAACCUGGGAACCGCGCUUGAGACUGGAGAACUAGAGUUCGGGAGAGGAUGGUGGAAUUCCCAGUGUAGAGGUGAAAUUCGUAGAUAUUGGGAAGAACACCGGUGGCGAAGGCGGCUCUCUGGACCGAGACUGACGCUGAGGCGCGAAAGCGUGGGGAGCAAACAGG
rnacentral:rRNA from 1 species